GCCAUUCUAGUAUACUAAAUACAAUUGACUUCCAAUCUCUAAAAUCCGGUCAAAACCCGGAGAAAGGCA
rnacentral:tRNA from 1 species